CCAACCCCUCGUGCCCUCCUCUCUCUCUCUCUCUCUCUCUCGAACCCUAGCGCUCCACUCCUCCCUGGCCGCCGCCACCUCCGGCGCCCUCUGUUCGGCGAGAUCCAUAUGGAUCGAUCCCCUCCAACCCAGGACUCCAUGAAUCCUCCUCCUCCUCUCUGGAUCGAUCCGCAACCGCUUCCAACCCAGCCGCCGCCGCAGACCUCCCCCAAUCCAGGCUCCUACACGCCCCACUCCCAGAUCGAACUCUAGCCUGAGACCCCUUCCUGCUCGAUGGCAAACCCCACCAUGGCGGUAGGUGGCGGGGCUCAUUGGCGAAGGGCGUCCGCGCCGUCGAGGCCCAGAUCCGCAACCGCUUCCGCGUGGCGCCCGUCGACCGCGUGGCUGCGGCCCUGGCAAUGCGAUGGCAGCGUCGGCCCUGGCGGCGUCGGCGGCGGCGAGCCAGUCCCUGAGAAACCGCGAGAUCCUCGACGUUGUGGGCACCACUACGUUGCCGCUCUCGCUUGCCGGCUUCUCCUUCAUCGUGGUCUGCUACCUCCUCUUCCGCGAGCUACGCAAGUUCUCAUUCAAGCUCCUCUACUUCCUCGCUGUUGCGUCCAUCGGGGGAGCUUUGGCGGCAGCACAAGGAGCAGGGCAUCGAGCAGCAGCACUGGCACGGGCUUAUAUAUUGUUGGCUUGUAGCAUAAAUUUUUGGCAUGAUAGCAUAAAUUGGUUGGCGUCUUGACACACUAAUGCAAUCUUACUGACAAUUGGCAGUAACCAAAAUCAUAUAAAGGUCGCGGCGACCACCAAGAACACACCCAACUCCCGCAUCCUGAACUACCUGAGCCUGCCGUCGCAGCUGCUGUGUCAAGUCCACAACAUCACCAUGCAUGUAGGUGUACUUGGUUCAUCAUCAAGUUCAGGUGUAGGGGUUAGUGGCCUUAAGCAUUAACCAUUUAAUCCUGAUGAAUGAUGCUUGUUUUGCACAGGCUGACA